UGUGCCCCUUUAAGUGAAGCACCUACUUGUCUUAGAGAAGUGUGUCUGUCUUUUGGGCAGCACCAAAAUCCUUUUGCUUAUACUCUGGAGCAUUCGGCACACUGUUUCAUCAGAUAGCCCACCCUUUAAAGUGGGAAAGUCUUAUCUUCCGAGAUAGGACAAUAUAACCUAAUAAAGCUCUCAAUGGAGCAAGCUGAGGAAUGCAGUGCACUCAAGUGACUUACUUGUACGAUAAUAACCUCGAUUUGAACCGGGAUUAUGAAGUGUAAAGUAACAUCAGCAAACAUAGCGGAGGCCUGGGAAGACUUCUGCUCCUCUGCCAGUGGCAGGAAGGGGAGGAAGAGAAGAGAAAUACGACAUAGAAAGAAGGGUGUUGUUCUGUUUCUGUUUGCUCAUUAGCAAGAUGAAGCAUCCAGGAAGAGAAUUUGUUUCUUAGAGAUAAACUGAGUGUAUGCAAACUGCCCAGCACUGAAACUGUUGUAUUCUACGAUGAUCUCUGAACGUUGGUUUUCCCUUGUCCUCCUUAACAGAACAAUUAAAUAUUAAUAUAUUCAAUACUAA